rnacentral:snoRNA from 1 species
CUCCCAUGAUGAGGACAGGCGGCUAUGUACUCCUGCAAUCAGUCCCACGAUUCUGGAAUAGACUCGUCCCUCGUCUGCUAGAAACUUGAAAUUCGUCCACGAAGGAC